CGCACUGUGCACAUGGCUGCGUCACUUCCACGUGACGGCCAGCACGCCCUGGCCUCAGUUGGGGUGUGUCAUAAAAUUUUACAUAAGGCUUCAGAUUGCCACACAGUAAUCAAUUGCAAUUUGAUUCUAAUAAUUUGACAUUUUCAUUAGAGUAGAAGUUCUAGGGGUUUAGGCAUGAUCUCUUAAAGUAAAAAAAAAAAAAAAAAAACACUAUUAGUUAAAUCCAAAUCUAUUAAGCUUGUAUUUGAAAACAUCGCUAAAGAUAAAGAAUUUUAAUAAAUUUAAAAGAAAAUUGAUAGUGUUUUUAACUUUUUUAGGCUCUAAAAAUCAGACAUUUAAUUCAAUCUAUACUUAGCUGAAAAUACACUGUGUUACUGUUCAUAAGAACAAUGUACUUUCGAAAAUGCCCCUGUCUUAAUUGUGUAAUUUCAAUUACUCCAAUGCAAAUCUAAUUGGAUCUGGACCGUCCAUUUAUUUGGGGCAUUGUGAUAAGAAACCCCCACCCCAUGCACGAACCCAAAUACACCAAAAACCAUCAUCCAGUCUCAUCCGUUCUCAAUUGGAUUUCCCGGUGUAAACCCAGAAACUAAGGGUUAAAGUACAAAUGUUACUGGCGGGUCAAGUUCCAUAAGGAGGUGGAAGCAGAAGAAGAAUUAGCGUCACACUUCAGUUUUUCAACAAAAAGGAGUUAAUCAUUAUAAAUUAUGCAUACAAGCUUCUCUGUUUUUUAUAUCUGAAAUUUGAGUUCUUUGACCAAAACUAUGAAUAGUGAUUGGUAAAUAUUUCGCAUUUUUUUUUCUAUGGUCCAUUUGUGUUCUUUUGGGGUUGUAUUUUGCUAGAACAUUAUUAAAUAAUUAAAUUACAUAAAUGGACACAAUAGAUUAUUAAUAGUAUCCCCAAUUUUUCUCUAAA